AUGAUUAAUGUGACAUGGGUUCAGGAUGACCAGGACAGCUCAGGCUACAGAGAGGUAGCUGAGGAAAACCAGGAGCUGCCCUUGGGGCUGUUCCCUUCCCUCUUCCCUCAGGGCGUGCUUGGGGUGGUGGGGCCUGAAGGUCAGCAGCUUACCGGGGUGGACAGAACUGGCUGUGGGCAGCACGCGGCCUCCACACACGCAGUGCACUGCUUCAGCUCCUGCUCCUUAGAGCCUGUCCUCUACACCCAAUGUCCAGCAUAUACGAGUGUAGUAUAACAGCUGGUUUUGGAAUAUCCAAGAGAGAAAACAUCUCCUCUGAAACUUGCAGAACACUUCUGAUUCAGUCAGAGUCACCAUGAACAAGAAUACUUAUACUCUACAUGGGAGGAGUAAAAGUGUAAGUAGGUGAUUUUAUUUUCCUUGCUUCUAUUUUUGUUAUCAGUUAAUUUUAUUUAUUAUCACUAUAUUUAUAGCGGUAUUCAUCCAUACCACUUAAGUUAGCCUUUCAAAUGCCCCCUUCUGAGCAGGAUAGCAACUGUGAUAAGAUCUUUGUUAGUCUUACCUUGUUCUUGUGUCUGUAUCCUAAGUGAAUAUGUAUAUGUGAUACACACACACAGAUAAAAGAUUAUUCAAUAAUAGCAUGGUUUUGAGUGAUUUUUUCGGAACUGAGACGUUCAUUUUUGUGAGCGCAUUUUGCACCAAGUCAUUAAAGGUGAGAUUUUUCUUGAGCAUGCAUUGAAAUAUAAGCUUACGUACUGCUUACUGAGUACAUGUAACAUAUUCAGUCAUAAGUAUAUGCCCCUGCAUCGAUUUUGGUAUCAAGGAAUGCACUUGAUUUGAUAAUGCAUUGUAGAAAUGUUGUCUGUGCUCCAGGGGAACAAUGAGGCGAUACGCUAACAAUAUAUGCCUAGGUUUGGAUGAGGCUUAAUUUUUUUUUGUUCUCUGGUCUUUGUGGUGAUUUUGUCCUUUGUAUAUCUAUCGCAAUAUUCAAGAGUACUGCCGAAAUAGGUUUGGAUAUUUCUGUAGCCUUUACUGUCUUCCAGAUGCUUGUGGAACAACAUUAAUGUGUGAUACUAUAUACUGAUGACUCUGCCUUACAAGCACAGACAAGAACUGAAUGUUCCUUUCUAACAUGCUAUUGCUAUGCUUAAGCUGUUGAAUAUGCCCCUUCUCCUAGUAGUCAAGGACAUUUUAUUUAAGUGCUCUGACAAAUGUCAAUAGGAAAGAAAAGUUAGUGCAUGUCAGAUGCUGCAUCUACAAGGACGGAGGCUACAGAUACAGUUCUUUGUUUCCUGAGGCAUUCCCAGCUUGUAUGUAAAGGAAGUGCUCUUGAGAAAUAUUCCAGAUCACACUGGACUGAGCUUUUCAAUUCUGUUUUGAGCCUCUUCCAUCUUGCCCGGUAAUGACAUUGGGACUGCUGCCUCUGCUUUGUUGCUGCUAAUGCCUUAGUAUGUCUGCAUCAUUCUCCCCUUUGCUGCCUCUGCUUCUUCAUCCAGUGGGGUUGGUUCUUGGACUAAGAGGGUGAGCUUAGUUAACUUUAUGCAGAAUUGCUCAACUGUGUCCCUUUUCUCUCGGCUGUGGAAAGUCAGUGCAGACAUCUCCAAUCAGGUCUGGUGUGGAGCUUCCUGAAUCCUGCAGUCUGUAUCAGCUUUACCCUCUUUUUGCUGAGAGCCAUUGUUCUUUUUGGCUUAUACUUAAGAAUUUCUUAAAAAAAAGAAAAAUCUGUGCAGAUAACUUUUUCUUUCCUGUAGCUUUGCUCUAUAUGCCAUCAGUGUAUUUAAGUAUAGCCAUGGAAGAAAGUGACAGAACUAUGUUAAACGGUGCCACUGUUUGAUGCGUGGAUCAAAUAAAUAGCAUCAUAUGUUUCA
rnacentral:lncRNA from 1 species